rnacentral:rRNA from 1 species
GGGACCCGUCUUGAAACACGGACCAAGGAGUCUAGCAUGUGCGCGAGUCAUUGGGAUAUUUACUAAACCUAAAGGCGCAAUGAAAGUGAAGGUCUUGCAUGCCAGGACCGAGGGAGGAUGGACGGUCUCGCGGGGCCGUCUCGCACUCCCGGGGCGUCUCGCUCUCAUCGCGAGAAGAGGCGCACCCAGAGCGUACACGCUGGGACCCGAAAGAUGGUGAACUAUGCCUGGUCAGGACGAAGUCAGGGGAAACCCUGAUGGAGGUCCGUAGCGAUUCUGACGUGCAAAUCGAUCGUCGGAACUGGGUAUAGGGGCGAAAGACUAAUCGAACCAUCUAGUAGCUGGUUCCCUCCGAAGUUUCCCUCAGGAUAGCUGGCGCUCGCUUCUCGCGAGUCUCAUUCGGUAAAGCGAAUGAUUAGAGGCAUUGGGGUCGAAACGGCCUCAACCUAUUCUCAAACUUUAAAUGGGUGAGAUCUCCGGCUUGCUUGAACUGUGAAGCCGCGAGAUAUCGGAUCAGAGUGCCAAGUGGGCCACUUUUGGUAAGCAGAACUGGCGCUGUGGGAUGAACCAAACGCCGAGUUAAAGCGCCUAAAUCGACGCUUAUGGGAUACCAUGAAAGGCGUUGGUAACUUAAGACAGCAGGACGGUGGCCAUGGAAGUCGGAAUCCGCUAAGGAGUGUGUAAA